ncrna:Macaca mulatta (Rhesus monkey) microRNA mml-mir-142 precursor
CAGUGCAGUCACCCAUAAAGUAGAAAGCACUACUAACAGCACUGGAGGGUGUAGUGUUUCCUACUUUAUGGAUGAGUGUACUGU